rnacentral:rRNA from 1 species
CGGACGGGUGAGUAACGCGUGGGUAACCUGCCUCAUACAGGGGGAUAACAGUUAGAAAUGGCUGCUAAUACCGCAUAAGCGCACAGGACCGCAUGGUCUGGUGUGAAAAACUCCGGUGGUAUGAGAUGGACCCGCGUCUGAUUAGCUAGUUGGAGGGGUAACGGCCCACCAAGGCGACGAUCAGUAGCCGGCCUGAGAGGGUGAUCGGCCACAUUGGAACUGAGACACGGUCCAA